rnacentral:lncRNA from 1 species
UUCGCUUGAAUAGGGAGGUUGUGGGUUCGAACCCCCACAGCCCCCUUAUUUUUCCUCUCAUUUUCGCUGAAGAGGAGGCUGUGAGGUGGUGGGUUCGAACCCCCACAGCCCCUCUAUUUUUUUUUUUAAUUCUUUGACAUCCAAAAAUUUCCAGAUUCUUUUUAAACCUAUUUCUAUGUUUUUGGAAAUUUAUUCCACUAUUUUUUCUGCACUUUUUCAUCAAGUUUCACAUUAGUUCUUAGGGAGAUUUCAUGGUUCAUUCACUUCACUAUGCUUCAUCAAAAUGAACAUCACAUUGCACACCCAUUUCACACAUAAAAUACAUGAUAAAUAAACAACUUAUAUACCCAAAACAAUGCCUAAAACACUGCCCUAUACACACCCAUACAUCAACUUUUUCCGGUCAUAUUCUGAUGAUCAUUAUCGCGAUUUCCCGCACAUAAACACACUCAUAUUUAAUUUAAACACAUCAUUCAUGCAAAAAUCUAGCAGCACAACAUACCCAUCCUACAAAUUCAUUAGGGAGCUAAGGACAAGGACAUACGAAGGGGAACAACCUUAGUUUCAAGAGUUUAAGAAACGUCCGAAAGAAAGUACUCUUGGAGAAAGAAUUCCAUGAGAGAAACUCAUACCUUAAUCGAUGUUCAAACUUUAAUGUUGCUGCCCGGAAAACUCCUCCAAACCACUCCCAAUUCACUUCAAAGUAUACCUCUCUUAGCCUUGACGUUUUGAUUACUUUUUCUUUUGCUUAAAAAAUUUUUUUUGUGAGUUCUUCAAGCAUGAAAAUUAUUGAUAUUUUGGCAGAAAUAAUGUGAGGAAGAUGGAGAACGUGAGAGAGGGAGUUUAGAAGCGUGAGAGAGAGAGGACUAAUUGGAUU